UACAGGGGGUGCAAGCGUUAUUCGGAUUUAUUGGGCGUAAAGAGCGUGUAGGCGGUCUGUUAAGUCUGGUGUGAAAGCCCCGGGCUCAAUCCGGGAAGUGCAUUGGAUACUGGCAGACUAGAGUGUAGGAGAGGUGAGCGGAAUUCCUGGUGUAGAGGUGAAAUUCGUAGAUAUCAGGAGGAACAACAGCGGCGAAGGCGGCUCACUGGACUAUUACUGACGCUAAGGCGCGAAAGCGUGGGGAGCAAACAGG
rnacentral:rRNA from 1 species